UCUGGCCCCGACCCGGCAGCGAGGGACUCCUGACAUCUGUGCGAUGUGAUCUACCUGCUCUCUACCUGCCCCGCUGCCUCUCUACUGCCCCGCUGCCUCUUCUCUCCCUCCGCGCCUGAACCUUCUCACUGGAUCUUACAGGGACAGCAGCACCCCGGCCCCCAUCCUUAUAUACAUCCCUCACUCUCAUGGGCAAUCACUCACCCAUUCACUUUCCCACUCUCUCUCUCCCACCGAGCUAUUCUGGGCAAACCCGCAGCAUUAACCCACUACUAGCGUUUUGUAACCCCUUCCCUGCUCGCAUGUCUAACCAUGAAUCAGAUACUGGAAGAAAGAGGCAUUUCGGGCAAAUGAUUGUGACACUUGAGAGAAGGCAGGAGUCCAGCCAGCAGCAACCCAGGAGUAAUAAUAGGAAAUUAGCGGAUGAAAAGGGAACGCUACAUUUUAUCUUAAAUCGUGGGGCACCGUAGGAGAUUUACAGUGUACGUGUAUCCACAUAAGAAUCCACAUACAGAAAAAGACAAGGGUGACAUUAGCUUCAACGGAAAAAUAUUCCUUACCUGCAGCCCUGCUGAGAAAAUUGUGUCCAUCAGAGUAAAUGUUGGUUAAUCCUAAAACUGAAGGAAAUCAGUGGUAGUCGCAUUUCCAUUGUGCACAAUUACAAUUUUCACUGUCAUCAGUCAAACAGAAUACAUCUUGAUAAACAGGGAAUCUGAAAAGAAACAAUCAAGAAAAAUACUUUAAUCUGUGCCUUUACAGUUUGUCUUGCAUACCCUAAAAUUGCAUAUUGUUGUGGAAGAGUGAUUCAUGUCUCUUUCUCCACAUUUAUGCUCAUUUUUAUAUGUUUAAAGUGGAAGUGUUUUUCUUAUAAAGAUUCACAUAACUGUCUGUAGUGGAUGUUUAACAUAUCUGUUUCACAAGGAAUUUGUAUCAGUUGUGUGUAUGCAAAGAUCACUGGCUAUGCUUACUUCUACUUGUAGAUUCCUGGCAUUCUUGACUGGACCUCCAUCAGCAGCAAUGUACCAGGGGACAUACAGUAGGUUCUAAUACCCUACAGCCCAAUUUUAUCUCUUGAAAGCAAUUAAUCACAAUUCAGUCAUCAAAAAUAGUCUAAACUAUUUAUAAGGUUAGUUAUACAAACUGUAAAGUUUACCUGUGGAUUUAUAGAAGUGUUUCCCCUAUAGAGCUACUCACUGCAUCCCCUUUUGCUCAGUACUACAUACAGAUAUAAGUUAUACAGUGGUGUAUAAAUAUGUACAUUUUACAUUUUGAAUAAACUCAUUUCCAUGAA